AUCAGUGUGGUGCAGGGUGCACGGCGGCUUUCAAUAGCAGUUUUACUUGACGCGAUUGGGCCGCAGCCGGGGUUCGACUCCCCACAUCUGAUU